GUUGAUUACGGCAUUGGGAAAAGUACUCUAUUGUUGUAGACAAGGGGCAGUAGGAAGCAAGUGCCAUAGACAUGAUCGUGCCAGUAGGAUUGAGAGAAUCUUAAGCUUUUCAUGCAUCUGAUGGCAAUGCUGAACUGGUCUUGUCAAUGCAGGAACAACAGUACAUCACCAAAGGGGAGCAGCCAAUUGAAUUUCCAUGACAUCUAUGUUUCUAUUCAAAGCUAUUGGCCCUGUUGCUGGUGGUACAAUGCACAAAUAACUUCAAUAUUGAGGAUGGUCCAUUAUUGUGACAAAGUGCAUGUGCUUAGGGAGGCCAUUAAUAUCCUGUGGAAAUCGAGCAUGGUCCAUUAUAUAUUUUCUUUCUUCUUGAACUUCUCCUUUAAAAGUUUGAUUUUCUGCUCAGAACUUCUCCUGUGGAAGUUUGAGGAAAGGAAUCUUCAUUGCUGAAGCAGUUUUCAUCUUUGCAACCAUGAUUCUUAAAGUAUACUACUACAUGUACUUCACAAAGGCAACCACAACUCCACUUUCUCAGAAGACUAACAGGGUUAGUUCGUCAGUUGGAAUGACUGGAGAUACAUGAUGAAUCAUGGAUGAAUCAUGAAAGGGUAACAAAUUUUGAGUAUUCAUUCUAAUGGAUGUUAAACUCAAAGGCAAGUUAUUGUACCAUUUAAGUUUAGGUGAAGGGGAUAUACUAAGUUAAAUUUUUGGAAGCAUGUGUCAUAUGCAAUGAGGUUUCAGAUAAACUUUAUAUUGUAUUUUUUACUAUUAAUUAAUUAUUUGUCUGAGUAUUUUUUUAUUGUGACUUAAAUA